rnacentral:rRNA from 1 species
UACGAAGGGGGCUAGCGUUGCUCGGAAUUACUGGGCGUAAAGCGCGCGUAGGCGGCUGUCUAAGUCGGAUGUGAAAUCCCCGGGCUUAACCUGGGAACUGCAUUCGAUACUGGGCGGCUAGAGUAUGAGAGAGGGAGGUAGAAUUCCACGUGUAGCGGUGAAAUGCGUAGAUAUGUGGAGGAAUACCGGUGGCGAAGGCGGCCUCCUGGCUUAAUACUGACGCUGAGGUGCGAAAGCGUGGGGAGCAAACAGG